rnacentral:rRNA from 1 species
CAGCACCUCAAGUGGUCAGGAUGAUUAUUGGGCCUAAAGCAUCCGUAGCCGGCGCUGUAAGUUUUCGGUUAAAUCUGUACGCUCAACGUAUGGGCUGCCGGGAAUACUGCAAAGCUAGGGAGUGGGAGAGGUAGACGGUACUCGGUAGGAAGGGGUAAAAUCCUUUGAUCUAUUGAUGACCACCUGUGGCGAAGGCGGUCUACCAGAACACGUCCGACGGUGAGGGAUGAAAGCUGGGGGAGCAAACCGGAUUAGAGACCCGAGUAGUCC